CCCUAUGGGGUGCAGCAGGCGCGAAACCUCCUCAAUGCACUAAAGUGCGAAGGGGUUACCUCGAGUGCUGCCUGAAGAAGGUGGCUUUUCCUUGGUGUAACUAGCCUUGGGAAUAAGAGGGGGGCAAGACUGGUGUCAGCCGCCGCGGUAACACCAGCCCCUCGAGUGGUAGGGAUGAUUAUUUGGCCUAAAGCGUCCGUAGCCGGCCGUGUAAGUCCCCCGUUAAAUCCAGCGUCUCAAGCGUUGGGCUGCGGGAGAUACUGCAUGGCUAGAGGGUGGGAGAGGUCAGCGGUAUUCUGGGGGUAGGGGCGAAAUCCUUUGAUCCCUGGAGGACCACCAGUGGCGAAGGCUGCUGACUAGAACACGCCUGACGGUCAGGGACGAAAGCUGGGGUAGCGAACCGGAUUAGAUACCCGGGUAGUCCCAGCCGUAAACGAUGCAUGUUAGGUGUUGGGUCGGUCACGAGCCGCCCCAGUGCCGCAGGGAAGCCAUUAAACAUGCCGCCUGGGGAGUACGGCCGCAAGGCUGAAACUUAAAGGAAUUGGCGGGGGAGCACCACCAGGCGUGAAGCCUGCGGUUUAAUUGGAGUCAACGCCGGGAAUCUUACCGGGAGCGACAGCAGAGUGAAGGCCAAGCUGAAGACUUUGCCAGACAAGCUGAGAGGUGGUGCAUGGCCA
rnacentral:rRNA from 1 species